AUGAACGCUGGCGGCGUGCUUAACACAUGCACGUCGAACGGAAAGGCCCAAGCUUGCUUGGGUACUCGAGUGGCGAACGGGUGAGUAACACGUGGGUGAUCUGCCCUGCACUUCGGGAUAAGCCUGGGAAACUGGGUCUAAUACCGGAUAGGACCACAUUUUGGAUGGUGUGGUGGAAAGUUUUUCGGUGUGGGAUGAGCUCGCGGCCUAUCAGCUUGUUGGUGGGGUAAUGGCCUACCAAGGCGUCGACGGGUAGCCGGCCUGAGAGGGUGUACGGCCACAUUGGGACUGAGAUACGGCCCAGACUCCUACGGGAGGCAGCAGUGGGGAAUAUUGCACAAUGGGCGCAAGCCUGAUGCAGCGACGCCGCGUGGGGGAUGACGGCCUUCGGGUUGUAAACUCCUUUCGCUAGGGACGAAGCGUUUUUGUGACGGUACCUGGAGAAGAAGCACCGGCUAACUACGUG
rnacentral:rRNA from 1 species